rnacentral:rRNA from 1 species
CAAACUUGGUCAUUUANAGGAAGUAAAAGUCGUAACAAGG